rnacentral:misc_RNA from 1 species
ACACUCUUGAAAAAAUCCCAACGUGUCUUAAACAUCCGUUUUAGGACAUAAACCCCCUUUUUUUAAAAAGCGAACUAAAACGAAGGAUUUAUUUCUCUUCGUUUCUUUUUUUUUUCUUUCUAUUUUUUACCAUUAAACCCAAUUGAAUUUUUUAGACUGAAACUUUUUUUUUCUUCUGGAAACAGAGAAAAAAAUAAAAAAACAAAAUGCUAUA